rnacentral:lncRNA from 1 species
UGCGAUGUAGUAAAAAAAAAUAAUAAUAAAAUAGAAACAAUCAAAAUACGUGGAUCAGUCAAAAAAGAGCUCGCCUCUAUGAGAUAUACAAACUUCAUUAUGAGAAAAGAAAUAUUAUAAGAGAAGAUCUCACUCUCAACCCUCGUACACCCAAUUUUUCUCUCACAGAAAGUUCUCCUUCACAAAAGCUCUCUCUAUAGGAAGACUCUCCUGAACCCCUGAAGUGGCCACUAUCCAAGAGCCUCCCUUCUCCUUCUCUCACAACGUCACGCAUCUCUCUCUCUUCUUCAUAGGUUCUUCCCUGGUUCGCGCGAAGCCGUCUGUGCCCAGAAAACCGCCAGCCAAACCACCCCC